rnacentral:rRNA from 1 species
AGAGUUUGAUCAUGGCUCAGGACGAACGCUGCGGCGUGCUAAUGAAUGCGGGUCGAACGAGAACCAGAUGAGUGCUUGCACAAGUCUGGGGACAGUGGCGAACGGGUGAGUAACACGUAGGUAACCUGCCCCCCAGCCGGGGACAACAGCGGGAAACUGCUGCUAAUCCUCGAUAGUCUAUAAUGGCGCGAGUCAUUGUAGUAAAGGCUUCGGCCACUGAGGGAUGGGCCUGCGGGCCAUUAGCUUGUUGGUGAGGUAACGGCUUACCAAGGCGACGAUGGCUAGCCGGUCUGAGAGGAUGAUCGGCCACACUGGGACUGAGACAUGGUCCAGACUCCUCCGGGAGUUAGCAUCAGGGAACCUUGCGCAAUGGGCGAAAGCCUGACGCAGCGACGCCGCGUGAGGGAAGAAGGUCUGCGGAUCGUAAACCUCUGUCUGGAGGGACGAAUGCCCUGCUCGGCAGGGAGUGACGGUACCUCCGGAGGAAGCCCCGGCUAACUACGUGCCAGCAGCCGCGGUAAUACGUAGGGGGCCGGCGUUGUCCGGAUUUACUGGGCGUAAAGAGCGCGUAGGCGGUUCGGUAAGCGGAGGGUGAAAUACCGGGGCUCAACUCCGGUGCUGCUCUCCGAACUGCUGGACUAGAGUACGGGAGAGGGUAGUGGAAUUCCUGGUGUAGCGGUGGAAUGCGUAAAUAUCAGGAGGAACACCCGUGGCGAAGGCUGCUACCUGGAACGUUACUGACGCUGAGGCGCGAAAGCUAGGGGAGCGAACGGGAUUAGAUACCCCGGUAGUCCUAGCCGUAAACGAUGGACACUAGGUGUUGCCGGCAUCGACCCCGGCAGUGCUGUUCUGCUAACGCGUUAAGUGUCCCGCCUGGGGAGUACGGCCGCAAGGUUGAAACUCAAAGGAAUUGACGG